ACAGCUGCCCCCAUUCCUUUUAACUUUCUUCUCCUGUAGGCAGUAGGCAUUGCCGCCGCACAGUUGCUCACUCUCGCAGCGGUAGCCCUUCGGCCAACAAAAACCUUCGGUUCAGCCGUUAAUCGUCGGCCGCUUUCUUCCUUGGGAGCUUUCUUUACCGGGCGCUUUCUUCCUCGGGUGUUUCUUCUUCGGGUUCAUCUAUCUUUCGGCCAUUCUCAGCUGGUCGAAACCCUGGUAAAACCUCUGCAGAAGCAGGCGAAAAGAAAGCAAGGAGAAUGAAUAGUCCAAAUCCAGUCCACGACGAAGAUGAUCAUGAUGAAGGCGAGGUUUUCCUCGACGAGUCUGAUAUCAUCCGCGAAGUUACCGUCGACGACGAAGAUCUUCCCGAUGCGGACGAUUAUGGUGGCUCUGAUGAUGAAAUUGCUGAAGGAAUUGAUGACUCUAUGCACAUAUUCACUGGUCAUACUGGUGAACUCUAUACCGUUGCCUGCAGUCCAACGGAUCCUACAUUAGUGGCAACUGGGGGCCAGGAUGACAAAGGGUUUCUUUGGAAGAUUGGUCUAGGAGAUUGGGCUUCUGAACUCCAGGGUCACACUGAUUCUGUAUCUAGUUUAGCCUUUAGUACGGAUGGACUGUUGCUUGCAUCUGGGGGGAUGGAUGGAUUUGUCCAAAUUUGGGAUGCUUCAUCAGGAAACUUUAAAUAUAAAUUUGAAAAUCCUGGAGGGGAAAUUGAGUGGGUCAGAUGGCAUCCAAGAGGGCAUCUUGUCUUGGCUGGUUCUGAGGACUCUAAUGCCUGGAUGUGGAAUGCUGAUAAAGGUGCCUUUCUUAAUAUGUUCUCUGGACAUGGCGGUAGGGUCACUUGUGGAGAUUUUACCCCUGAUGGCAAAACAAUCUGCACUGGAUCUGAUGAUGCAACCUUGAGGAUAUGGAAUCCAAGGAGUGGAGAAAAUGUUCAUGUUGUAAGAGGUCAUCCAUAUCACACUGCAGGACUGACGUGCCUGGCGCUGAGUUCAGAUUCUACUCUUGCCAUUACUGGUUCGCAGGACAAUUCUGUCCAUGUUGUGAAUAUAACAACUGGGAAGGUGGUUAGUUCUCUGGUUUCUCACUCAGAUUCAGUUGAAUGUGUUGGGCUUGCACCAAGUUCCCCUUGGGCUGCAACGGGAAGCUUGGAUCAGAAGCUUAUCAUUUGGGAUCUGCAGCAUUCAUCACCUCGCUCCACAUGUGACCAUGAGGAUGGAGUUGCAUGCUUGACAUGGCUUGGCGCAUCUAAAUACCUAGCUACAGGAUGUUUGGAUGGAAAAAUAAGAGUAUGGGAUAGUCUCUCUGGUGAUUGCAUAAGAACUUUCAGUGGACACGCUGGUGCCAUUCAAUCUCUCUCUGUGUCUGCUAAUCUGGAUUUCCUUGUUUCGGCUUCUAUUGAUGGAACUGCAAGAGUGUUUGAGAUUGCAGAGUUUCGGUAAGCAGAGCAAGUUGUUCAAUAUAUGAGAUGGAAUUCAAAGGAAAUUGAAAGGCAUAUUCCUGUCAAAGACUACAACACAGUGUACUCACUAUUUAUGCUUAAAAGUAAUUAAAUAAACACAAAGCUCUCAAGUGUGUUGUAUGUUAUGUUUAUUGAUUCAUUGUCUGAUAUCUUUAUGCUAAUUUUUGCAUGUCGAAAUUAAGUUUUGAGAACAGACUGAGAAAGUAUGGCUUUCAUCCUUAUCAUCUGAACAAAUUGAUAAAAACUGACUUGAA
rnacentral:misc_RNA from 1 species